rnacentral:rRNA from 1 species
UACGGAGGGUGCGAGCGUUAAUCGGAAUUACUGGGCGUAAAGCGCACGUAGGCUGUUUUGUAAGUCAGAGGUGAAAGCCCACGGCUUAACCGUGGAAUUGCCUUCGUAACUGCGGAACUUGAAUUCGGGAGAGGAUGGCGGAAUUUCAGGUGUAGGGGUGAAAUCCGUAGAUAUCUGAAAGGACAUCGGUGGCGAAGGCGGCCAUCUGGAUCGAUAUUGACGCUGAGGUGCGAAAGCGUGGGGAGCAAAC